ACAUCGAUGGUGAAACGGUAUCAUGCUUGCCUUCCACGUCGUUACAUAUAUCUGUAAGCAAGCGGCACGGGUUCGACUCCCGUUCGAUGUA